GACGAACGCUGGCGGCGUGCUUAACACAUGCAAGUCGAACGGUGAAGCGCCUUCCUUUUUGGUGGGUGUGGAUGAGUGGCGAACGGGUGAGUAACACGUGAGUAACCUGCCCCCUUCUUCUGGAUAACCGCAUGAAAGUGUGGCUAAUACGGGAUAUUCUGUGUCUGUCGCAUGAUGGGUCUGGGAAAGAUAUUGUUUCGGUGGGGGAUGGGCUCGCGGCCUAUCAGCUUGUUGGUGGGGUGAUGGCCUACCAAGGCGGUGACGGGUAGCCGGCCUGAGAGGGUGGACGGCCACACAGGGACUGAGACACGGCCCAGACUCCGACGGGAGGCAGCAGGGGGGAAUAUUGCACGAUGGGCGCAAGGCUGAUGCAGCGACGCCGCGGGGGAGAAGGAGGCCGUCGGGUUGUGAACCUCUUUCGCCAGUGAAGCAGGCCUGCCUCGUUUGUGGGUGGGUUGACGGUAGCUGGAUAAGAAGCGCCGGCUAACUACGUG
rnacentral:rRNA from 1 species